GAUGAACGCUGGCGGCGUGCCUAAUACAUGCAAGUCGAGCGAACAGACGAGGAGCUUGCUCCUCUGACGUUAGCGGCGGACGGGUGAGUAACACGUGGAUAACCUACCUAUAAGACUGGGAUAACUUCGGGAAACCGGAGCUAAUACCGGAUAAUAUAUUGAACCGCAUGGUUCAAUAGUGAAAGACGGUUUUGCUGUCACUUAUAGAUGUAUCCGCGCCGCAUUAGCUAGUUGGUAAGGUAACGGCUUACCAAGGCAACGAUGCGUAGCCGACCUGAGAGGGUGAUCGGCCACACUGGAACUGAGACACGGUCCAGACUCCUACGGGAGGCAGCAGUAGGAAAUCUUCCGCAAUGGGCGAAAGCCUGACGGAGCAACGCCGCGUGAGUGAUGAAGGUCUUCGGAUCGUAAAACUCUGUUAUUAGGGAAGAACAAAUGUGUAAGUAACUAUGCACGUCUUGACGGUACCUAAUCAGAAAGCCACGGCUAACUACGUG
rnacentral:rRNA from 1 species